GCCGGGCAUGGUGGCUCAUGCCUGUAAUCCCAACACUCUGGGGGCCGAGGUGGGUGGAUUGCCUGAGCUCAGGAGUUUGAGAUGAGCCUGGGCAAAAUGGCAAAACCCCAUCUCUA
ensembl:misc_RNA Metazoa_SRP Metazoan signal recognition particle RNA